rnacentral:rRNA from 1 species
AUUGAACGCUGGCGGCAGGCCUAACACAUGCAAGUCGAGCGAGCGGCGGACGGGUGAGUAAUGUAUGGGGACUGCCCGAUAGAGGGGGCUAACUACUGGAAACGGUAGCUAAUACCGCAUACUAUCGGAUAACCCAUAUGGGAUUAGCUUGUAGGUGAGGUAAUGGCUCACCGAGGCGACGAUCCCUAGCUGGUAUGAGAGGAUGAUCAGGCACACGGGGACGGAGAGACGGCCCAGACUCCAACGGAGGCAGCAGUGGGGAAUAUUGCACAAUGGGCGCAAGGCUGAUGCAGCCAUGCCGCGGAUAUGAAGAAGGCAAUAGGGUUUUAAAGUACUUUCAGUCGGGAGGCGGUACCGACAGAAGAAGCACCGGCUAACUCCGUGCCAGCAGCCGCGGUAAUAC